AUCGGUGGUAGCUCAACCGGGUUAAGCGCUCGCCUCUCACGCCAGAGAGGCGGGUUCGAAUCCCGGCGCUGACA
rnacentral:tRNA from 1 species